AAUGUACAGUGGUAUUAAAAUAGCAUAUGUGUAUAUGGUAAAUUUGACCAUUCUGCUGUGUUUCAACAAAGUUGGUUAACUAAAGAGUAAUGACUAACUGAUAUUACCGUCCUAAAAAUGACUAGUGUUCUGUAGGGUAAUCUGCUGGGUGAAAGGCUUAAAAAUCACAAAAUAUGCAGAGAAGUGGCAUAGAAAAGAAAGAGUAGAAUAUGCAUUAUUAAAAGAAUAAUUUGAAAAUUACAAAAUUCUUACAGUAGGUAUACAAUUAGAGUGGCAUUUUUUUUUUAAUAUUUUAUUUAUUCGCUAUAGAGAUAGAUGGAGAGAGAGAGUGUGAGCAGGGGGAGGAGCAGAGGAAGAGGGACAAGCAGACUCCAUGCUGAGCACAGAGCCCCAUGCAGGGCUCCAUCUGAGGACCCUAAGAUCAUGACCUGAGCUGAAACCAAGAGUUGGACACUUAACUGACUGCGCCACUCAGGUGCCCCUAGAGUGGUAUGUUUUAAUGUGUUGUUUAUCCUAGGAUGCCUAAAAUUCGUGACCACCAUAUAGUAGAAGCCGCUAAGGGGUAAUUCUUUGAUUCUGUCCUUAUUAGUUACAAAGCGCUUCUCAGUUGAAAUGUUUGGAAGCACAGCCCGUUUCAUACUCAUUUUCUCUCCCAGCCCUGCACUAAGUUGACCUCAGUAAGGAAGGCAGGGAGCUGAAUGGUUUUCCAUUAAGUUUUUUCAGUUCAUUACACCAGAUUUUAAGUUAAUUUGGUUUUGUGUCAGUUUUUAACUGGUUUUGUGUCAUCACAUUUCUACUUUAAAUUGACAAAAGAACAGUUUUGCUUGGAAUCUACAUUCUAGGUAGUUUUCCUAGGAGUGCAUUACGUUAUUAGAUGGACUUGGAACAGAUUCUGGAAACAUGGAGCCUGAGAUUGUCUUUCCUCCACUUGGCCGCUAGGAUCUACAGACUGCUGGGCACAGGCAUUUCCCCCAGUGAGUCUCUUGUGUUUAGUUCAACUUGCAUCUGUUUCUUGGAGGACCUGAACUGAUAAAAUCUGCUGUGAUGCAAUGAGGGGGAAAAAUCACUUCUAUGAUAUUUCUGCCAAAAAAUACAUGAUCUGAAUCUCUUCAUGAGGAAACACCAGACAAAUCCAACCGAGGUACCUUGUAAAAACAAAUGGCCUCUAGUCCCCAAAACUGUCAAGAUAUGAUUUAAAAAAGACUGAAAACUGUUCCAGGUUGAAGGAGAUGAGAUAGCUAAAUGCAUAUGUGAUCCUGUAUUGAAUUGUUACAAAGGACAUCAUUAAGAUAAGUGGAAAACUGGUUCUUUUUAUUAGAUGGUGAUCACCAUCUUGAUGGCACAAGACGAAAUGCUCACCGGGGAAUUCGGGGAUAAUGAAUGGAUCAUCACGUUUGAGACUGGGUUCAGAAGAUAAAGGUCUUUGCACUAUUUCUGCAACUUGCCUAUAGAUUUGAAAUUCUUAUCUUUCAAGAAAUAAAUGUGGAAUAUGGAGAAUGGACUCAGGAGCUAAGAAGGAAAGUCACAAAUUGGAAGGCUGUUGAAGAUGUCCAGCUAACCAUGAGUGGGCCAGCAGGUUUGCAUAAUUCCCCGACGAUUAAUCCAGAUUGCCAAUAAUUAGAAAGAAUUCAGCUUUACUGGUAAUUAAGGAAACAUAAAUGAAGAUGAUGAUGAUGAUACUGUUCUGUUAAACCAACAAAGCUUAAAAAGCACAAAAAGAAAAACAUCCAAUGUAUGCAAAAUUGGAAGAAAAUGGAUGCUUUCAUAAAAACAGUAACAGCUAAUAUUGAUUGCCUAUUACGUGCUUUGCAAGAUUCUAAGCAUUUUACCUAUGUCAAUUUAAGCACAACUCUGUGAGGUAAGUGGUACUAUUAUCUCCAUUUUAUAGAUGAGCAAGCCAAGCUUUGAGAGGUUAAAGUAAUUUGUCCAGUCAUAGAAUACGAGUAAAUGGCAGGGAUAAGACUCAAAGGUUUAUUUCCUAGUUUGUUUUUUAAUAACAGACAUGCAUUAUUUGUAACAUCAAAAAUCCAUUCGUCCACAAUUAAAAUGAUGCUCCCCUAAGGUAGCAACCAAAUAUUCUGGCAUCAUAAUUAUCUCAAUACUCCCAUGUCAUCUCCCAACCAAUCCAAAUUGGUGUUAUAGCUACUUAAAAUUGUGUGUAAGUUAUUUCUAUAUUAUCUAUAAUUAAAAAAAAUUUUCCUUUUGAUCAUGUCCAAAGCCCUGAAAACAUGACUAUCAAUAUCUAAUAAAAUUUAUAAAGUAAAAUAUAUUAUCAUCUUACUGUAUUUCCUAAGUUCCAUGCUAUCUGAGGCAUCUUACAGUAAAACCAAGUUUAUAAAACUUAUUUUUUGAAAAGCAGUCGUUUAUUUUAGAUCUAUAGAUUCAGAUUUUUUUAAGUGAGAAAAUAAGUCAACUGUCCUGAAGGUAUCAUCCUCCCAAAAGUGUUUUGAAAUGGCAGCGUUUUUUGUGGAACCAGAAUCCGUAUUAACUACAAAUAGUUUCUAAACUAUUAAAAGUAUUACAAUUAUCUACAUGAUUUCUGAGGAUGGCAAAUGACAGAUAGAUUAUGUUAAUGAACUAAAUAUCUGCCUACAUUUGAAAUAAAAUUGCUAUUAAAUUUGUUAUUUUCCUCCGAUAACAGAAAUUAGUGAAAGACUACGUUCUUCACUGAGCUUCUGCCGUUACGGUUCAUUUGUUUCAUUCUAAAAGCGUUAUUUUCUUUCCAGUUUUAAAACUUUUAGGUAUAUAUAUUUAUCAGGGGAGGAAGAAAAUUACAUACAUGAAUGACUUAACAUUACUCAGUUAAAAAGAAAUUCUUAAAAAAAAAAAAAGAAAAAUUCCUUAUUUUCCUAAACUUAAAAAUACUAUUUCAUGAUUAUUGUGGCUUGUCUUUAAGUUGUGAUUAAAAUUAUGACAAAACAUUUUGUUUCCAGGUAAAAGUGUUGCAGAUACGAGCUGAAUAUUACUGUCAUCAUUAACCAUAUAACUGGGCAGUUAUACUGACAAUGCAGCCCAUAUGAACCCAUCAAAAAAAAAAAAAAAAGCCACUGAAAUGUUUGUGACUCAGAGCACAUUUGAACAAUUCCUAUUUAACAUGUCAUGUGACACACCUCUUCAGAGAGUAACUUAUUACUGUUACUCAAAAUAAUGACAAUAAAUGUAUCCUAGUAUUUUGACCCUAGUGCCAUUAUGAAUUAAUGUUGAAUAUCUGUUCAUCUUGGAUUUUCUUUUUUGUGCUUCUUGGGAUUUUGAUUAUCCCACAGUAGAAUCCUUAUGUAAUUUUGUAGAAAGAUUUCUUUGUAGCAAAUUCUUCAUAGAGAAAAUACAGAGGACUCAAAAUAAUUCUCAACAGAUUUCAGAUAUGGAUUAUAUGUUCUAAUUUUACCUAGUGGGAAAUAGAGUACUAACUAAAUUUGCCCUUCACCCACAGAACAUAUGAAUUGACUAAAUGAGAUGCUAAUUACAUGAAUAAGGUAGAGACAAAGUCUGAGAAUAAAUUCCUAUUUAAGUACUAUAUUGACAAGUAUCUGUUCAUAUAUUACAGCCCUUUUCAAGAUAAGUAAAUUUACUUCUCGACUUCAUUAAAUUCACAUUCGAAUUUAUAAAUUUCUCACAUUAUUAUAUUGCAAAGCCCAAAUUAUCUUAGAUUCUUAAUAAGAAAAUAGGGGUAUGGCGAAAAGAACUAAUUUAAAUGAUUAUUUGCUUUUAUGUAGUGAAUAGAUUCAAUUCUGAAAUAGGGACCUGUGCUGUAAAUCCUAUAAAUUAAAUCCUGUUUGCUCAUUGAACUCUAGUCUGUAUGUGGAAUUAUUCUUUGGGAAAAUGUAUGCCACAAUCUAGUUUAGCUCUGAUACUGCUCUUUGGAGCAGAGCAGGGACAUUUUCAUAAUAACAAUGUAGCCUUUUCUCCAGUGACCCACCCAGCUCCUGGGAAGUUCCUGUACUUUAUUCGUGUGACCUGGCUUCCUCCUAUUUGGAUAGUCCAAGGGUCUGAGUAGAAAAUAACGGCUGACAGGUUUUGAGCUCCUACUGUCAGGCAUGAUUCUAAUAAGCACUUUACAGGGAUAAUGGAAACCUGUGAGGUAGAAUUUAUUAGCUCUUUUGUAGAUGGUGAAACUGACGAACACAGAGCUCUUCCGAGGAAGGGCUUGAGAACAUGGUUUGAUUCCAGAGCUGUGAUUAGGGCCAACAAUAUACUAUAUUGCCUUCUUAUUUUCUAGACUAGAGCUUCUCAGUCAUGGAUGGGUUCUAGGUGAGCUCAGGCAUGGAUCCUCUCAGCCCAUGGGCUUGCCAGAUGGGAGCAGUAGCCCAACUCACCUGUCUCUUCCCAUGGUUGUGAGCAGCUUCAUUCACUUAGAAGUGGAGGGUCUCCACCAAGAUGAUUGUUUUCUUUAUAUGCCAUGGUGUGAAAGUAUCUGACAAACACAUUGCCCUAGAACAAAGUACACAUUUAGAGGUAAAUAUAUGAACUGUGUUUCCUAACUUGCAACUGACUUUAAAAUAAAUGUUCAGAUUCUGUUAUCUUUUGACAGGAAAUAACAUGUAUACCUUACAUAAUUCUACUUUAUGUUACUUCUUAAUCAACUAUUACAAAUGAAAAAAGGAUUGAGAACAAAAGCUGAUCAUUUUUCUCAUUGAUAUUUUGUUACAAUUCAUAUUAAUUGUUCUUCCCUGUACAUUAGGCAACAUUGACCCUGACUAGUUACCAUGAAGUCUUAACAUCAUUAGAACUGCCAUUAUUUAAUUAUUAUUGGUAAAUCAUUUUUGACUGUUUAUUUGGGCUGCCUGCUUCCCAAUUAAUUGAAUUGGCAAAUAUUUCACCUUGAAUUUCAAUGUACCACAAAGCACAUCAGAGUACAUAAGGUUAAUAAGGGAGUGCUCUCUGAAGAGGGACAUCUGCAGGUUUAAAAUAUAUAUAUAUGAUGGAGGAACUAGGUAUACUCUUGAAUAUCAGCUCUUGUGCAGCACUGAAGUGACUUUGGAGACUUCACAUCUUCAGUACCAGAACGAAAUAAAGACAAAACAGUUGAGAGUUCCUGGGCAUCUUAGAAAGAGCUCAGAAUGAACCCACUGGUAACCCAGCUGGCUUCAAUAAAAGUGUAGACACAAACACUUGCACUCAUAUGCGUUCAUUGUGUUUAAAGUGAUUUGUUCACAAUCCAUUAAUCAUGGAAGCUCAUCUGAAAGUAUGGUUUGUAGACCAGAAACCCGAUUUUACCUCAAUAGAAGUUUUCAGGUAAAGAUAAACAUGUUGCAGAUAAGUCAAAGAGGGGAAAAAAAUAAUCUUUUUUUGACUGCAAUAAGCCAGAGAAUGAUGGCCCACUUAUAACACAUCCAGUCCUGUUUAGUAUCUUGGUGGGGUCCAUCUUUGGAUCUUGGACCAUUUGCAUCUGGUCUGGAUAACAGAUUCCAUAUGAAAUACCAGGGAGGAAAAAGCAAAGGUGACUUUGAAGUUCUAAGCCUCACUAACUCAGUGACAAUGGGUCACUGGAAAGUAUCACCAAGAAGAGGAGCUGGUUGGGUGUGUAUGGGCUGGAGAAGAUGAUGAAUUCUUUGGAGCACGUAGAUCUGAAGGAACCAGGAGGAGAUUCAAGUGGCAAUUUCAUGAAAGCAAUUGAAAAUGUUUGCCUGGGAUCAUGUGGAAAGAUUAGGAGUAGAACUUUUGAGCUGGGAGACAUCUACUCAUAAUCUUAGGGGUGAAAGAGACCUUUUCUCCAAGAAAGAAAGGAUAAUGAGCUAAAGAGCUUCAUCCCAUUGCUGGGAUAACCAGUUUCUCAGGAGGAGAAAGGCUGAAGGCGAAGGCUGACAAGGCCACACUGGCCGCCUUGAUUUUCCCCACCCCACCAAACGUAGGCCCCUUUCAACCUCAGCCUGGAACGCUCUUUGUUCCCACAGAGUUAGAAGUGCUUUCUUUGUGCUCCCAGAAUACUCUGUUUCUGAUGCUACAUUCAACCACAGACUAUGACAGUUAACUGUUCAGCUUCCUGUCUCACCUGUGACACAGGAAAUAUUCAUUGAAUGAAUGAACCGGUUAUAUGGAAUGGAGACUGGGCUCAGGCCACAUUUCAGUACUCGAGAUCUUGGCAUUCUCAUAAAUUGGUCAGAUGGUGUGUUAUUUCAAGGAAAAUAAAACUGAAUGCUCAUUGUGUGUCAGCCAUUCCCAAAAUAAAGGCCAGACAUUUAAAAACAACAUCAAACAGGACUCUCCAUUUCUUGGCUCUGGUUUUUUAGGUACUUAUCCUCAGUCAGGCUUUCCCUAAGUAACAGCAAAGUCAAUAUUCACUCCUCUGAAAUCACUCUGGCCCUCCUGAGGUCACUUGCAUACCCCUGUGAGUCUAGAGCAAGUGGAGCCCUUGAUGGACCUCCCAGGGGAGGGGUGGGGCAGUUUUGAAAGCAGGGUCUGAUAUGGGGGCAGAAACAAUACAACGUAACAGAAGUCCGUGGUAGAAACCAUACAAAGGCCAUCAAGUGAAACAACAAUAGGGGAGCAGAAGGGAAAGGAAGUAAAUACAUUCUCCUCCCUUCCUCUGUCUUACUGUCAAAAUUACAGUCUGUCAGGAGAAGGACCCUGAGCCCCCAGGACUGCCUUUGCCUUGUAGAUGAAGGAGAGUUAGAAAAGCACCAGCUGUCAAUAAAGCCACUUGUUGGCAUUAGAACAUUGAGCCUUAGUGUUUGUUUUUAUUUAAAUCUUGCCUUUGGUUUGAUGUGAAAAAUAUAAAUAUGAAAAUCUCACAUAAACUUUAAAACGACCUCUCAAGUUCUAAAUAUAUAUUAUAUAAAAACUAAUAUAUUUAUAAUGUUAGAGAAGGAUGAUGUAAACUUUUGUAUUUCAUUCUCUUUGGUACUUUCCUUAGAGGUUAAAUGGGAGAAUGCACAUGAAAAACACUGAGCACUUGCCCAGCACAAGUCAAAACUGGUAGGUAUUCUUGACAUGAUUGUUGUGGCUUAAGGAUUUUUUUUUUUUUUUUUUUUGAUGGUAAAACAUGUAUAACACGAAAUGUGCCACUUUACCCACUUUCUAAGCACGCAGUUAAGUGGCAGUAAAUAUAGUCACUCUGCUGGGCAACUGUUAUCACCCUCCAUCUUGAAACCUUCUUAAUCUUCCCACACUGAAAUUGUACCCAUUAAACAAUAACUUCCCGUUUCUCUCUCUCCUCCAGACUUUGAUCACCACCGCCCUCCUCCCUCUCCAAAUUUGCCUAUCCUACGUACAUCAUGUAAAUGGAAUCAUGCAUCUGUCCUUCUGUGUCUGGCUUAUUAAAAAAAAUAGUAAAAGCUAAAUCCACACUUUUUAGUCAUUGAUUCCUGGGGUUCCUGUACUCUACAGGUCACAUUCAAAAGGCCUCAAUUCCAUCACCCUCCUGCUAGUAUUUACUAAUUACUGGCAUCAUCUCAGUAGGAGAAAAACAAUCUCUACAGUGCAUUGUUAAUGUCCCAUCUAUUCCCCCCAGCAUCACAGAAGCAGGGCUUGCUUCAGGAAUCUGGAACUAUCUCUGGCAGGGAGCUCUAAUGCUUUGGUGCCUUAAUUGUAGCUGAGCUGAAAAGUUUCCAGCCUACGUAUUGCAGCUUCCUCGCCAUCAACCUCCUGGCUCCUCUCCCGAAGUGACUGUGAUUUUGCAGUCAGUAAGCAAAGUCGAUGGUAAUGAGACAUAAAUAUUCAUUACUAAAAAAUGAGGGCCUAAAUCAAGAGAUAAGAUUAAUUAUUCAGAAAAAGCUCUAUUUUAAAAGUUUCUCUCACAGAUGUGUAGCAAUUAUGCAACCUGUUUCUUUUUUAUCAUGCAUAUGAGUUCGUGGAGCAUUUCCCAGCCUGGCAAGUCUGCAUUCCUUACUGCACGAUGAUGCCAGUUCCUAAUUCCUGGACAAAAAAUAAGAACUGCUAAGCCUGUAACCGUCAAAUACCAAGCGGGCUGCUUCUGUAGCGACCAGUUACCCACGUGAAAUCUCUUAGGGUACACUCUUUACUCCAAGGACUUGUCCAUGCAAAUGUGGUUUUAUCAGUCAGUGGAACUUGCUAAAACUGCUCUCCGCUCCGGGAGCAGACCGUUUCUCCGUACCUCCGUGCCUUCACGCUGGGUCUUUCCGAUGCCCGUGACCCAGAUUACCACAACCACUACUACAAACAACAAAUGACACCUCGGAAUGCAAUUUCUGCCCAGUGAUCCUGGGCAAGGAAUUAUCUCUGGACAUUGGCUGUUUCCUCUGUAAAAUAAGUGAAUAUAGCCUGUGAGGCCCGAGAGCCCAGUGGCCGGUAAUCAGGAAUGCAGGUAAAUACUGGAUUUAGGAAAGAUGCACGCACGUCUGUGUUGUACUUUUCCAGCACUCUUUCUCCUUGAGACUGUUCCUCAUUUCUCUGCCAACAACCAUCUCACAGCUUCUCACUCCUGUAUUUGGGAACUGAAAUUUCCACCCCAUUUGCCCUUUGGCUAGCAAGGCCUGUCCAACCUCAGGCUCUCUGCCUAGCAUAAGCUAAGACUGCAGGCUGGAAAUCAGCACCCUUGUGAUUUAAUUACCUUUAUCUCAUCCGUACCCUUGGCAAUCAGGACUCCCAAUUGCGGCUUUGCAGAGCAAAUUUGACAGCCUCCUAUCUCUAGCUUUUAAUCUAAACAAAAUGCCAGUGACUCAGACAGACAUAUGAAAGGACACCGUGAUAAUCAAGAGAGAGGAAAAUUCUAUAAGAACAACAACAACAAACCCCCCCCCAAAAAACCAAACAAACAAAAAAACCCGUGUUCUUAUUUUAUGUUAACUCUAGGCUCUGUUAGGAAAGGUGACGCUAUGUUUGGCAUAUAAUUCUGCACUUUGAACAAAUAUGCUGGUAUUUAUUAGGUGCUCACUAUAGCCUAGGCACUGGGCUACAGAACUCCCGUAUAUUAUUUCAUUUAAACCACCCAGUAAUCCUAGAAGGUAGGUGCCAUGCAUACCCAUUCAUAGGUAUGAAAACACAAAGGCUUAGGUUAAGUACCUUGCCUAAGUUCAGACAGUAAGUGGCGAGGCUGGAUCAAACCAGGCCAACCUCAGAACCAAUGGUCUGGCCACUAGGCUAGAAUAUUCAGUGAUACGUUCAAGGGCAGGUCCUCACUCCGGAUAAGGUAAUACUGAGUUACUCCUUUAAAUCCAGAAGCCUCUGGAAGGCUUAAAUGAUGGAUUACUGUAUCUAAAUAAUUUACUCCACUUUCUCCCCACCCCUUAUCUGUUUUUUUUCUAUUGAGGUCCUUAGGUUUAAUUUUUUUUUUUUUUUAAACUAAAAGCCAUCUGUUCUCUGUUCCUUGCAGUAGGAAACAUAAAGCUUCAAGAGGGCCAUACAACCAUACAUGUUUGAAAUUCCUUGUCGAUAUAACAUGCUGAAUUCAUCCAAUGGUACAUUGUGACCUCAGGGACUCUUGUGGCUGGAAUUUUUCUUUUUUAAUCAAAAUAGUAAGAACAUUUGAAUACUUUCCGGUGAAGGUGUCCCUGUAAACUAAGAAUUAGGAAUACUCUUUAUCCAAGUAGGAAAUAAAUAGUCCCACUUAUAGAAUUUAUUGUCUAUAUAAAAAAAUAUUACUUAGAAAUAUAGGUAAAAAAUUAAUUAGGAGAUUUUAUGUGGGUGAGUUAUAACGUUGUCCCCAGAGUGGGUCCAGAAGAUAGUCCCUUAGGAAGGUUCUAUUUCUUCUAUUAGAAUUUCUACUUUUAUUCUUUCUUUUUUGUUUAUUAUUUUUUAGUUUCUAUUUUUGUAUAUAUUUUAUAAUGUAUAAUAUAUACUUAUAUGCAAUCAUGUAUUAUUAUGUACAUUAUAAUAUAUUCAAAUAUAUCCAUAUAUUUUUAUUAUAUAUACGUGUGUGUGUGUGUGUGUGUGUGU